rnacentral:rRNA from 1 species
CAAUCAAACCGGGAGAUAGCUGGUUCUCCCCGAAAGCUAUUUAGGUAGCGCCUCGUGAAUUCAUCUCCGGGGGUAGAGCACUGUUUCGGCUAGGGGGCCAUCCCGGCUUACCAACCCGAUGCAAACUGCGAAUACCGGAGAAUGUUAUCACGGGAGACACACGGCGGGUGCUAACGUCCGUCGUGAAGAGGGAAACAACCCAGACCGCCAGCUAAGGUCCCAAAGUCAUGGUUAAGUGGGAAACGAUGUGGGAAGGCCCAGACAGCCAGGAUGUUGGCUUAGAAGCAGCCAUCAUUUAAAGAAAGCGUAAUAGCUCACUGGUCGAGUCGGCCUGCGCGGAAGAUGUAACGGGGCUAAACCAUGCACCGAAGCUGCGGCAGCGACACUGUGUGUUGUUGGGUAGGGGAGCGUUCUGUAAGCCUGUGAAGGUGUGUCGUGAGGC